CAAAACGUAGCUUAACUAAAGCCCCCCGCUUACACCGAGGUCAUGUCUACUAAACUUAGAUCGUUUUGA
rnacentral:tRNA from 1 species